GUUUGAAAAAAAACUUAGAGGGCCAUUUUUUUUUCUCUCAACAGCCCUCUCAGGCCGGCCAUCGGGCCACGUGGCGGCCGCCAGUUACCGUUGGUGGUAGAGGAGUUGGUGGCUGACGUGGGAGGAGUGGUGGUGCCAGAGUAGAGAUUUAGGGUGCGGUGGCUAGGGUUAGAUUAGCUAUUAGGGUUUCUUUUGUUUUGCUAAAACUGGUUAAGUGUUUUGGGCCAUUGGGCCUCUUUUUUCAUUUGGGCUUUAAUAUUUUUAUUUUAGUUUGUAAUUUAUUUUUCAUUUAUUUGUAGAAUUGGGCCCGGGCGAAAUUGGGCCAUUACAAUA